GUUCUCUCCCCACUGCCAGGCACCACCACACGCCAUCUAGUGAAGUAACAAAGAACGCUGCCAGACGUAUCGUGUACAUGCAGGCUACAUUUAUCAUAUUAAACCAUGAAAUGAUGCCUACUGGAGAGAGCAGGCUCUUUUUUUCAGACUCCAGUUAUUUGUUUCAAGUCCAACUCUUGAAGUUUAUUAGACUUCUAUGAGUGCUUCACUGGUGCUCCUCACACGUGACUACCAGAGACAACAUGGUGGUUCUAGAGAUCAUGUUAAGCAUGGAAGAAGGAUGCUUCACGUCAGGAAUUCUUCCCUCCUUUUCAAGAAUGUCAAAAUGCUACAUAGCCUUUCAUUUUGCCAGAGUUUUGCCCAUUCUGGUGUUGACAUCAGCAGAUUUUACUCUGUCAUUUACAACAUGAAGCAAAGACAGGAGCUGGGUUCUUCCAUCACAUCACCUACCCAUUGCUCACUUCUGAAUGAAGGCACAUCAGCACAGCACAGCAGAGAUUAAAACCUCUGAGGAAGCCAUAAAACCCAGCAGCCUCUAUGAAACCGUAGCCUUUCUCCUGCCCAGACUAAAGUGGUGCUUGAUUGACUCUCCUUGUCGGUGGACAAGGAGACUUGUUAUGAUAUGUAUCAAUGAGUGUGUUGGGAGGGAUUAACCACAGUCCCUCACCUUGAAAUGGCUUCAGCUUGAUUUCUUAUGGAAAUGAGGGCAGCUGUACACAUAUAUCUCAGUCUCUGCUUUUCUGCAUAUCUGCCCUUCCCCCCUCCCCUAACUUCUGAAUCCACUGACCAAUGCCAGCAAUCUGUAACAUAGGAGUAGCAGUCUUAAAGAUAAUUAAGUUGCUAAAUGUUCAUUAAAGUUGGCCUUGAACUACAGGAGAAAGAACUUACUGUCAUUUAAAAUAACAAUGUGGCUCAACACUAACUUGUCCCAAAGAAUCCCUGCCGGGGAGGAUAUUAUGCAAGCCCUUUUUUUCCUCCCUACACAUGUGUUUAGUAGAGCAGGAUCCAGCCCUAACAGUUCCUUUCUAGAUUAUUUCUAAGAUGGAGUCACAGAUAUGUUAUUGCAUAGAUAAUUAACCAUUAAACACUAAUGAGUUACUUCAAAUAUGGUACAAGGCUUCACAGAGAGUGUGCUGUAACAUCCUGCCAAAUGAAGCAGUCUAUUCAAAACUCUAAUGGGAUCACUAGUAGGGUUGCCCAAAACACUAGAAAAAAUCUAGUGGGAUUAACAAAGUUCACUUUGAUGUGGGCUAUUUUUAACCUGGAUGUGUUCUGUGAUUUGUUUCCCACACAGCACAGAAACUGGCACAGCUGAGGGGCUGGGAGCCAGGAGGGCUGGCGCUCGGGACACCUCCUCCUGGUGGGCUGCCAAGGACGGCGGCAGUGUCCUCCCUCCCGCCCAGGGCGGUGGCCCCGGCCCCGGGCACACGGCAUCCAUCCGCGCUGCUCGCCCGACCCUCCCCUCGAGACCUACUUCUGCUGGGAGAGGCAAGGUAACCUCGCCACUGAAAAUAGCUGGGACGCCGGCCAGCGGAGAUUAAUGGCAUCAUUAACGUCCCCGGUUUAUUUAUAGGUUUAAAAAUGCCUUGGACCUGCAAACUGAGCACAGUUGCUCCGUGUAAGGCAGGGACUCAUAGAUCUCCUGCUUCUGCCUUUCCCCUUCCUGCUAUUUGCUUCUGAUUGCUGGGACUGUAAAACCUCCGGAGCAGGCACUGUUUCUCAUUGUGAAGCUACUUUGUAAACCUUCCUAACUGAAGGGAUACACACAGAUACUGUUGUUUUUGUUGGUUUUUUUUUCCCCAAGAAUGCUGUAUUUGUCUGCUCUCCUUCCUCUACCAACUUUUUCUGUUCACACUGUGUCCUGUGGUACUCUUAGAGAAAAUUCUCUUUUUCAUGAAUUCCUGAGGCAAAGGCUGAGCAGCCAUCACAGGAAUUAGUGAUUUCCCACCCUGUGCUUUAAACUGUGAGUUCUGUGGCAGAGAGACUGAGGUUCUCAUAGCUGUGGAGAGCAUGGAGAGCACUUAGGACAUGUAGGGCCCUAGUGAGAAAUGCAGAUGCAAUUAGUGAUCGUGGAGGUCUUCCAACAGAAGCCAGCAGAGCUAGCCCAGCUCCCAGGUCCUCCAGGAACCUUGCAGGACUGGUGAGAAAAGAAAAAAACCCACCCCAAAUGUGUUUUGCUCCAGAUGAGGAGUUUUUGACUCGUGACCUGUGGCCAUACUGCCUGCUGUGUUUCCCAGUGCAGUAAACAGUGAAAGGUAAGUGAGAAAGGAGACUUGUCACCAAGCACAAAUACCAGGGGUAGGUUCUGUGACUGGGAGACAGAUGGCUCCAUGAGUAAGGAGAAAAAAGUAAAAAUGCCUGUCCUUAUACCCAGAAGCAUGGAUCACCAGUGUGGCAGCUCAUGGAAGUGAGGUUGUUUCAGAGGGCAGCCACCCUUCACUUCACUGUUGCUUUUUUGUUGUAUUAAUCUGAGAUAAACUCCUGUGUCAGUCGAGAGACUCAUCUUCUAGGGAUGAAAUAAAGAACCAGCAGAGAACCA